UGCGCAGGCGGAACUUUAAGUCAGUGGUGAAAUCUUGCCGCUUAACGGUAAAAUUGCCAUUGAUACUGAAGUUCUUGAAUAUGGUUGAGGUAGGCGGAAUGUGUUGUGUAGCGGUGAGAUGCAUAGAUAUGACACAGAACGCCGAUUGCGAAGGCAGCUUACUAAGCCAUUAUUGACGCUGAGGCACGAAAGCGUGGGGAGCGAACAGGAUUAGAUACCCUGGUAGUCC
rnacentral:rRNA from 1 species